rnacentral:ncRNA from 1 species
AUAAUUAACUAUACUUAAUUAAAUAAACCCUAUCGUAAGGAGAUAGUCAAUGAAAAAGAAAUUUAGCCUAGUAUUAGGUGCUUUUCUGUCAUUA